rnacentral:rRNA from 1 species
AACGUAGGAGACAAACGUUAUCCGGAGUUACUGGGCGUAAAGGGCGUGUAGGCGGUAUGUUAAGUCUGGCGUGAAAGCUCUCGGCUAAACCGGGAGAGGUCGUUGGAUACUGGCAAACUAGAGGAUGGUAGAGGCGUGCGGAACUUCGGGUGGAGCGGUGAAAUGCGUAGAUAUCCGAAGGAACACCGGUGGCGAAAGCGGCGCGCUGGAUCUCUUCUGACGCUGAGGCGCGAAAGCCAGGGGAGCAAACGGG